CAAGUCAGGAGUGAAAGGCUACGGCUCAACCGUAGUAAGCUCUUGAAACUGGGAGACUUGAGUGCAGGAGAGGAGAGUGGAAUUCCUAGGGUAGCGGUGAAAUGCGUAGAUAGUAGGAGGAACACCAGUUGCGAAGGCGGCUCUCUGGACUGUAACUGACGCUGAGGCACGAAAGCGUGGGGAGCAAACAGGAUUAGAUACCCUGGUAGUCCACGCU
rnacentral:rRNA from 1 species